CUUCGAAGCCAACUGCAAGACCUAUACCUUCAUCCAAACCUGCAUCAAGAGCUACUACACCAACUCGUCGGCCAUCAACACCAUCAAGUACUCCUAACAUAUAUGCUUCUCCAGCUAAAGCAUCUUCUUCAGUUACAAAGCCAACUCCUGCAGCUUCUAGAAAUUUUGUUUCUAGAGGCACUACUUGAUGGCUUCUCAUAUUGAUUCUAAAGCUAGAGCUGAGUUUGUUAAAGAAGUUCUUGAGAUUAUGGAACUCAAAGAAGUCAAGGAUGCCUUGGUUGGGAUACCUUGUCUUUCUGGUUUAUCAACCGCACAACGUAAGCGGCUUACAAAAGCGGUAGAGCUUGUUGCUAAUCCCUCGGUAAUUUUCAUGGAUGAACCAAGAACUGGCUUGGAUGCAAGAACAGCAGCCAUUGUCAUGCGUGCAGUCAAGAAUGUUGCUGAUACAGGUCGAACAAUUAUUUGUACAAUCCACCAACCAAGCCUUGAUUUGAAGCAUUUGAUGAGUUGAUUCUUCUGAAAAAUGGUGGGAGCUUAAUCUACUCUGGCCCCUUAGGUCAACAUUCCUGCAAAGUUAUAGAGUAUUUUGAGAGUAUUCCUGGAGUGCCCAAGAUUGAAGACAAUUGUAAUCCAGCAACAUGGAUGCUAGAGGCAACCGCCCCAUCUAUGGAGGCUGAACUAGGAGCUGAUUUUGCAGAAAUUUACAUGAAAUCUGCUUUAUAUGAGAACAACAAGGAGAUUUUAAGACAGUUGAGUGAUCCACCUCCUGGUUCAAAAGAUCUUCAUUUUCCAACCCAUUUUUCACAAUGUUGCUGGGGCCAAUUUAAAUCUUGCCUAUGGAAACUGCAUCUGUCCUAUUGGAGAAGUCCGUAUAACUUGACUCGUUUCUUGCAGACUGUCAUAAUAUCUUUGGCUUUGGGCUUAUUAUUUUAGAAUCAAGGACAGAAAAUAAACAGACUGCAAGAUUUGUUCAAUAUUUUCGGUUCAAUUUACUUUGCUGUGGUCUUUCUGGGGAUGAAUAGCAGCUCAUCUGUCCAACCAUUUGUUGCCACAGAGAGGGUUGUUAUGUACCGAGAAAGAUUUGCAGGGAUGUACUCUUCUUGGGCUUAUGCACUAGCAUAGGUGGCAGUUGAGGUACCCUAUCUAUUUAUCCAAACUCUGUUGUUUGGAAUGAUCACAUAUCCCAUGAUUGACUAUUAUGGAUCAGCAUAUAAGGUUUUGUGGUACUUCUAUGCCAUCUUCUGCACACAGCUCUACUUCACCUUCUUUGGAAUGUUGUUUGUGUCAUUGACACCGGAAGUCACAAUAGCUGGAGCUUUAUCAUCGUUAUUCUAUCCGUUGCUUAAUCUUUUCUCCGGCUUUCUGAUGCCUAAACCGAAAAUCCCAAAGUGGUGGCUCUGGUUGUAUUAUCUAAUGCCUACAUCUUGGACAUUGAAUUGUUUGCUCACUUCACACUAUGGAGAUGUAAACGAUGAGAUUAUGGUAUUCGGUGAAGCCAUGUCAGUGGCCUCUUUGCUUGAAAACUAUUUCGGGUUUCGCCAUGACCGCUUACACAUUACAGCUGUCUUUCUGAUUUCGUAUCCCCUAAUUUUUGCAACCCUUUUCCCAUAUUUUCUUGCACGUUUGAACUUUGAGAGAAGGUGAAUAUGUCUGUCCCACAAGGAUGAAAAUUAUGUGCAUAAACGAAUUGUGUUCCCUUUGUACUGAACUGGGUUUCGUUGUCUACUCUUUGUUUGAGUUCUCACCAUUCCAUUGCUUGUUGUA